CAACACGAUGCGGGAGAGCCGAGCAUCCGGUGUCAUCAUGACUCCGAGCACGGCACCGAAGGAGCAAGCCUCCCCGCCAAUCUCUCAGGUUCAUGUACCGCAUCGCACUG
rnacentral:ncRNA from 2 species